AUUGAACGCUGGCGGCAUGCCUAACACAUGCAAGUCGAACGGCAGCACAGCAGUAGCAAUACUGUGGGUGGCGAGUGGCGGACGGGUGAGGAAUACGUCGGAAUCUGCCCAGUCGUGGGGGAUAACUAGCCGAAAGGUUAGCUAAUACCGCAUACGACCGAGAGGUGAAAGCGGGGACCGCAAGGCCUCGCGCGAUUGGAUGAGCCGACGUCGGAUUAGCUAGUUGGCGGGGUAAAGGCCCACCAAGGCGACGAUCCGUAGCUGGUCUGAGAGGAUGAUCAGCCACACUGGAACUGAGACACGGUCCAGACUCCUACGGGAGGCAGCAGUGGGAAUAUUGGACAAUGGGCGCAAGCCUGAUCCAGCAAUGCCGCGUGUGUGAAGAAGGCCUUCGGGUUGUAAG
rnacentral:rRNA from 1 species